CCGGCAUUAGCGCGGAGAUGGAGCGGUGGCUUGCCCACUGGUCGCCGGUUCGAUUCCGGCACGUCGUGCAA
rnacentral:tRNA from 4 species